rnacentral:rRNA from 1 species
GCUGGCGGCGUGCCUAAUACAUGCAAGUCGAGCGGACAGAUGGGAGCUUGCUCCCUGAUGUUAGCGGCGGACGGGUGAGUAACACGUGGGUAACCUGCCUGUAAGACUGGGAUAACUCCGGGAAACCGGGGCUAAUACCGGAUGCUUGAUUGAACCGCAUGGUUCAAUUAUAAAAGGUGGCUUUUAGCUACCACUUACAGAUGGACCCGCGGCGCAUUAGCUAGUUGGUGAGGUAACGGCUCACCAAGGCAACGAUGCGUAGCCGACCUGAGAGGGUGAUCGGCCACACUGGGACUGAGACACGGCCCAGACUCCUACGGGAGGCAGCAGUAGGGAAUCUUCCGCAAUGGACGAAAGUCUGACGGAGCAACGCCGCGUGAGUGAUGAAGGUUUUCGGAUCGUAAAACUCUGUUGUUAGGGAAGAACAAGUACCGUUCGAAUAGGGCGGUACCUUGACGGUACCUAACCAGAAAGCCACGGCUAACUACGUGCCAGCAGCCGCGGUAAUACGUAGGUGGCAAGCGUUGUCCGGAAUUAUUGGGCGUAAAGCGCGCGCAGGCGGUUUCUUAAGUCUGAUGUGAAAGCCCCCGGCUCAACCGGGGAGGGUCAUUGGAAACUGGGGAACUUGAGUGCAGAAGAGGAGAGUGGAAUUCCACGUGUAGCGGUGAAAUGCGUAGAGAUGUGGAGGAACACCAGUGGCGAAGGCGACUCUCUGGUCUGUAACUGACGCUGAGGCGCGAAAGCGUGGGGAGCGAACAGGAUUAGAUACCCUGGUAGUCCACGCCGUAAACGAUGAGUGCUAAGUGUUA